GAGGACGACGCUGGCGGCGUGGAUUAGGCAUGCAAGUCGAACGGUAGGAUACCUUCGGGUAUCUGAGAGUGGCGAACGGGUGAGUAACACGUAGGUGAUCUACCCUCAAGAUUGGGACAACCCAGGGAAACUUGGGCUAAUACCGGAUGAAAGCAGCAGUGAUGUUGUUUGAAAGGUGGCGUAAGCUGCCGUUUGGGGAUGAGCCUGCGCUCUAUUAGUUAGUUGGCGGGGUAAAGGCCCACCAAGGCGAUGAUAGAUAGGCGGCCUUAACGGGUGGUCGCCCACACUGGGAUUGAGAUACGGCCCAGACUCCUACGGGAGGCAGCAGUCGAGAAUAGUCUACAAUGGCCGAAAGGCUGAUAGUGCGACGCCGCGUGAACGAAGAAGCCCUUCGGGGUGUAAAGUUCUUUUAUAUGUGAGCAGUGCUUUCUAUGUGAACAGCAUGGGGAGAGAGAUAUUAGCAUAUGAAUAAGCAACGGCUAACUCCGUG
rnacentral:rRNA from 1 species